rnacentral:rRNA from 1 species
GAUGAACGCUGGCGGCGUGCCUAAUACAUGCAAGUCGAGCGAACAGACGAGGAGCUUGCUCCUCUGACGUUAGCGGCGGACGGGUGAGUAACACGUGGAUAACCUACCUAUAAGACUGGGAUAACUUCGGGAAACCGGAGCUAAUACCGGAUAAUAUAUUGAACCGCAUGGUUCAAUAGUGAAAGACGGUUUUGCUGUCACUUAUAGAUGGAUCCGCGCCGCAUUAGCUAGUUGGUAAGGUAACGGCUUACCAAGGCAACGAUGCGUAGCCGACCUGAGAGGGUGAUCGGCCACACUGGAAGUGAGACACGGUCCAGGCGCCUACGGGAGGCAGCAGUAGGGAAUCUUCCGCAAUGGGCGAAAGCCUGACGGAGCAACGGCGCGUGAGUGAUGAAGGUCUUCGGAUCGUAAAACUCUGUUAUUAGGGAAGAACAAAUGUGUAAGUAACUAUGCACGUCUUGACGGUACCUAAUCAGGAAGCCACGGCUAACUACGUG